rnacentral:rRNA from 1 species
AAUGGGGGAUAACGUAGCGAAAGUUACGCUAAUACCGCAUAUGCCCUGAGGGGGAAAGGAGGGGAUCGUAAGACCUUUCGCUUUCGGAGUGGCCGAUAUCAGAUUAGCUAGUUGGUGGGGUAAAGGCUCACCAAGGCGACGAUCUGUAGCUGGUCUGAGAGGACGACCAGCCACACUGGGACUGAGACACGGCCCAGACUCCUACGGGAGGCAGCAGUGGGGAAUUUUGGACAAUGGGCGAAAGCCUGAUCCAGCCAUGCCGCGUGAGUGAAGAAGGCCUUCGGGUUGUAAAGCUCUUUCGGACAGAAAGAAAUCCUAUUCGCUAAUACCGGGUGGGGAUGACGGUACUGUAAGAAGAAGCACCGGCUAACUACGUGCCAGCAGCCGCGGUAAUACGUAGGGUGCGAGCGUUAAUCGGAAUUACUGGGCGUAAAGCGUGCGCAGGCGGUUUUGUAAGACAGGUGUGAAAUCCCCGGGCUUAACCUGGGAACUGCAUUUGUGACUGCAAGGCUAGAGUACGGCAGAGGGGGGUAGAAUUCCA